rnacentral:rRNA from 1 species
AUUGAACGCUGGCGGCAUGCUUUACACAUGCAAGUCGAACGGUAACAGGGUGCUUGCACCGCUGACGAGUGGCGAACGGGUGAGUAAUGCGUCGGAACGCACCGAGUAAUGGGGGAUAACGCAGCGAAAGCUGUGCUAAUACCGCAUACGCUCUGAGGAGGAAAGCGGGGGACCUUCGGGCCUCGCGUUAUGCGCGCGGCCGACGUCUGAUUAGCCAGUAGGUGAGGUAAGAGCUCACCUAGGCGACGAUCAGUAGCGGGUCUGAGAGGAUGAUCCGCCACACUGGGACUGAGACACGGCCAGACUCCUACGGGAGGCAGCAGUGGGGAAUUUUGGACAAUGGGCGCAAGCCUGAUCCAGCCAUGCCGCGUGUCUGAAGAAGGCCUUCGGGUUGUAAAGGACUUUUGUCAGGGAGGAAAUCCUUAGCGCUAAUACCGUUGGGGGAUGACAGUACCUGAAGAAUAAGCACCGGCUAACUACGUGCCAGCAGCCGCGGUAA